GAUGAACGCUAGCGGCAGGCCUAACACAUGCAAGUCGAGGGGUAGAAGGAGCUUGCUCCUUUGAGACCGGCGCACGGGUGCGUAACGCGUAUGCAAUCUACCUUGUACAGGGGAAUAGCCCAGAGAAAUUUGGAUUAAUGCCCCAUAGUAUAUAACCUUCGCAUGUUGGUUAUAUUAAAGUUCCAACGGUACAAGAUGAGCAUGCGUCCCAUUAGUUAGUUGGUAAGGUAACGGCUUACCAAGACGAUGAUGGGUAGGGGUCCUGAGAGGGAGAUCCCCCACACUGGUACUGGGACACGGACCAGAGUCCUACGGGAGGCAGCAGUGAGGAAUAUUGGUCAAUGGUCGCAAGACUGAACCAGCCAUGCCGCGUGCAGGAAGACGGUCCUAUGGAUUGUAAACUGCUUUUAUACAGGAAGAAACCCUCCCACGUGUGGGAGCUUGACGGUACUGUAGGAAUAAGGAUCGGCUAACUCCGUG
rnacentral:rRNA from 1 species